UAAAAGUUUUAAUCUAGCUAAGAAAAUUGAUUAGUAUAUUAAUAUUACAUGUAAAUUUUAGUACUUAUAUAUAAAUAAUUUAAUAUUGAUUAUAUAACUAUAUUCGCAGUAUUUAAUUUUAAACAUUGAAGUAGUCUUUGAUUUAGAAAUAUACUUUAAUAUUAACUAAAUUUGUGCCAGCAGUUGCGGUUAUACAAAUAAUAUAAUUAAUUUUUUUUUUAGUAAAUAAUUAAUUUAAAUAAUAAAAAUAUAAAAUUAAAUUUAUUAAGUGGAAUUUUAAAUUUUUAAAAUUUUUAUAAUAUAUAAUGAAGUUAUUAAAUUUUGGGCUAAACUAGGAUUAGAUACCCUAUUAUUUAAAAUGUAAAAAAAAUAUACUAGAUUAUUAUUAGUUAUGUUCUUUAAAAUUAAAGAUUUUGGCGGUAUUUUAGUCUUUUCAGAGGAACCUGUUCUAUAAUUGAUAUUCCACGAUUUAUUUUACUUGAUUUAAUUAGUUUAUAUAUCGUCGUAGUUUGAAUAUUUUAAAAGAAUUUUAAUAUUCAAAAUUUUUUAUAAUAAAGGAAAUCAGAUCAAGGUGUAGCUUAUAAUCAAGGAGAAAUGGGUUACAAUAAAUUUAUUUAAAUGGAUUAAUAUUUUAAAAAUAUUAUAAAAGUGGAUUUGAAAGUAUUCUGAUUAAAUUUAAUUAGAAGAUUUUAGCUCUAAAAUAUGCACAUAUCGCCCGUCGCUCUCAUUUAAAUUGAGAUAAGUCGUAACAAAGUAGGCGUACUGGAAAGUGUGCCUAGUAA
rnacentral:ncRNA from 1 species